rnacentral:rRNA from 1 species
AUGUGGAAGAACACCAGUGGCGAAAGCGGCUUGCUAGAUCGUAACUGACGUUGAGGCUCGAAAGUAUGGGUAGCAAACGGGAUUAGAUACCCCGGUAGUCCAUACCGUAAACGAUGGGUGCUAGUUGUUAAGAGGUUUCCGCCUCCUAGUGACGUAGCAAACGCAUUAAGCACCCCGCCUGAGGAGUACGGCCGCAAGGCUAAAACUUAAAGGAAUUGACGGGGACCCGCACAAGCGGUGGAGCAUGUGGUUUAAUUCGAAGAUACGCGAAAAACCUUACCAGGUCUUGACAUACCAAUGAUCGCUUUUGUAAUGAAAGCUUUUCUUCGGAACAUUGGAUACAGGUGGUGCAUGGUCGUCGUCAGUUCGUGUCGUGAGAUGUUGGGUUAAGUCCCGCAACGAGCGCAACCCUUGUUAUUAGUUGCCAGCAUUUAGUUGGGCACUCUAAUGAGACUGCCGGUGAUAAACCGGAGGAAGGUGGGGACGACGUCAGAUCAUCAUGCCCCUUAUGACCUGGGCAACACACGUGCUACAAUGGGAAGUACAACGAGUCGCAAACCGGCGACGGUAAGCUAAUCUCUUAAAACUUCUCUCAGUUCGGACUGGAGUCUGCAACUCGACUCCACGAAGGCGGAAUCGCUAGUAAUCGCGAAUCAGCAUGUCGCGGUGAAUACGUUCCCGGGUCUUGUACACACCGCCCGUCAAAUCAUGGGAGUCGGAAGUACCAAAGUCGCUUGGCUAACUUUUAGAGGCCGGUGCCUAAGGUAAAAUCGAUGACUGGGAUUAAGUCGUAACAAGGUAGCCGUAGGAGAACCUGCGGCUGGAUCACCUCCUUUCUAAGGA